rnacentral:tRNA from 1 species
GGAGUUUAGCUCAGUGGUAGAGCACUUGCCUAGCAAGCACAAGGCCCUGGGUUCGGUCCCCAGCUCUG